AAAUGCUAGCCAAGUAAGUGAUGGAGCUGGAGCUUUCCUAUUAAUGAGGCGAGAUGUUGCUACACAAAAGGGUCUCCCAAUUUUUGGAAUCUGAGCUUUGGUGCAGUUGGAGUUGAUCCAGUUGUUAUCGGUGUUGGUCCUGCUGUUGCUAUUCCUGUAGUAGUGAAGGUUGCGGGUCUUCAAAUCAAUGAGUUGACCUUCUUCUUGAGAUUAAUGAGCGAGUCUGUUGGACGCGUAGGAGGGGAGCACAAAAUGUGGAGUUGUGAGUUCAUCCACGCUCUUUCUAGUGUUGUACUUCUUCACAUCGGGAAAGAAGUUAAGCUGCGGGGAAGCCAAGGAAGUGUUGAUUGUUGCCAUAUGUGUGGAAGCCUAUCCGAGGCCUCUGUGUUGCUUGGUGAGAUGUUGAAGGAGACUGAAGAAGGGUUUCUAGAUAUAUAUGAUUCGUAUCCCAGGUUCU